CCAGUACCGUGAGGGAAAGGUGAAAAGCACCCCGGAAGGGGAGUGAAAGAGAUCCUGAAACCGUGUGCCUACAAAUAGUCAGAGCCCGUUAAUGGGUGAUGGCGUGCCUUUUGUAGAAUGAACCGGCGAGUUACGAUCCCGUGCAAGGUUAAGCUGAAGAGGCGGAGCCGCAGCGAAAGCGAGUCUGAAUAGGGCGUUUAGUACGUGGUCGUAGACCCGAAACCAGGUGAUCUACCCAUGUCCAGGGUGAAGUUCAGGUAACACUGAAUGGAGGCCCGAACCCACGCACGUUGAAAAGUGCGGGGAUGAGGUGUGGGUAGCGGAGAAAUUCCAAUCGAACCUGGAGAUAGCUGGUUCUCCCC
rnacentral:rRNA from 1 species